GUCGCUGCUUCUGGCGACACUUCCCCGCAGAACCAGUGAUCCCAAGACACUCCUGGGGAAAAGCACGCACCCAGCUCGCUUGGAAACAUCUGCCCUGCGGCGGCCUGACCACGGGCCUCUACUGUCCAGGCCACUCUGCAGACUCGGGGUCUGGCCCCCUCACUGUGCACGACUCACACUGCGAGUGUGUCCAACAGACAGGCAAAUGGACAGAGGCCCCUUCUCACCAGCGCUGGGCACGUGUAGGGGCAGGAACCACAAUGAGCAGGUUUUCUGACCCAGCAGACCGGGCCCACCCGCGUCACACCACUCCGGCAAGACAGCUGCGCCUCCUGGACACCGUGUGAGCGGACAGACCAGGAAGAGGGGGUGGAUCCAGAAGCCCUGACUCUUCUCAUGCGGACAGAAAGGGCACAGAUGCUUUUGGGGUCCUUGAAGUCGCUUUAUUUGACAGAUUGGUUGACGAAGUGAAAAGGCAUCUUAGCUUUGAUCGUUUUCAAAUUUUUCUUCAUAAAAAAGAACACCCUGUGACGACGGAGAAGGUACGUGAGGCGACAUCAGCACUGGAGGGUCGAGAGGGGUCGAGCAAAGGGCCUCGGGACAGCUAAG